rnacentral:sRNA from 1 species
UGCUCAAGAAAACAGAGAGCAGAGAGUGGAUGAGAGGAGACGAGGACAGACCAGACGAAGUGAAACACCCCAACCCCAUUUUUUAUUUAAAAAUAGUUUUAAUUCUUAAUUGGUGAGCCCGUGGGGCCCACCUUGUUUUAUUUUUAUGUUUUCUGGUCUGUCUUCUCUCAGUUCUCUCUUUUCCCUCACCUCUCCCGCAACUCUCUCUCCUGUGUCUCUCUUGGACCUCAUCUCUCUCCCUUGCUGCAACCCCUUUUCCCCGAGCAACACCCUCAGCCACGCCAUCUGCUGAGGACAUCACCAUCAAAACCUCUAUAGUUUUCUCUCUCCCGUUGUAGAAAGGACGACGAAAUUUCCAGGAGCCUCCGGCGACUUUCGAGGCCAUUUCCGGCCAAAACACGGCGAGUUGGCCGGCGUGCAAGUUUCCGGCGACCUCCGAGGCUUUCGAGGCAUUUUCCGGCCAAACCACGGCGAGUUAGAUGUCUUGUGAGGGGCAAUUAUUGUGACGUUUCCGUCUUCGCUAGUGGCGCAGCUUUUGGCAACUAAGUACUGUGAGUAGACCCCUUCUAAAAUUA